AUUGAACGCUGGCGGCAGGCCUAACACAUGCAAGUCGAACGAGUGGCGGACGGGUGAGUAAUGUCUGGGAAACUGCCCGAUGGAGGGGGAUAACUACUGGAAACGGUAGCUAAUACCGCAUACUAUCGGAUGAACCCAUAUGGGCUUAGCUAGUAGGUGGGGUAAAGGCUCACCUAGGCGACGAUCCCUAGCUGGUCGGAGAGGAUGAUCAGCCACACUGGGAUGGAGACACGGCCGUGACUCCUACGGGAGGCAGCAGUGGGGAAUAUUGCACAAUGGGCGCAAGCCUGAUGCAGCCAUGCCGCGUGUAUGAAGAAGGCCUUAGGGUUGUAAAGCACUUUCAGCGGGGAGGCGUUACCCGCAGAAGAAGCACCGGCUAACUCCGUGCCAGCAGCCGCGGUAAUAC
rnacentral:rRNA from 1 species